UGUACUGACUUUGUUCUGCGGUCUCAAGCACACCUGUGCCGUUGGUCAUCGCUGGUCACGUAGGGCAGGACUUGACUGAGCUGAGGUGGAAAAGUAGGACCCUACCAAAAUACCAUACCACCACAGCGUGACCAGUCUGGCACACAGACUGCAGAAGCUCUAAGACUUAUUUAUCAACUCAAGAGGUGGCAAAAAGAUGACUCUACAAAACAACAAAUUGGCGACUAGAAAUGAGAUGACCAAUGAAAACAGACUGGUCAAGGUCACAACCUCCAUCACAUCUGAAGGCUGUCUUGUUGCAGAUAUAUCAAACCAGUACAGAGAACACCUACAGAAAGGUGAUGAGGCUCUACUUGGGGGAGACCUGGACUCGGCAGAGCAGCACUUUGCAGAUGCACUCAAG